GAUGAAGGUAUAGAUAGAUAGAGAGAAAGAAAAGUGGAUGAAGGUAUAGAUAGAUAGAGAAAGAAAAGUGGAUGAAGGUAUAGAUAGAUAGAGAGAGAGAAAGAAAAGUGGAUGAAGGUAUAGAUAGAUAGAGAGAGA